UACAGAGGUGGCAAGCGUUGUUCGGAAUUACUGGGCGUAAAGGGCGCGUAGGCGGCCUUCUAAGUCAGACGUGAAAUCCCCAGGCUUAACUUGGGAACUGCGUCUGAUACUGGGAGGCUUGAGUGCGGGAGAGGGAUGUGGAAUUCCAGGUGUAGCGGUGAAAUGCGUAGAUAUCUGGAGGAACACCGGUGGCGAAGGCGGCAUCCUGGACCGGUAUUGACGCUGAGGCGCGAAAGCUAGGGGAGCAAACGGG
rnacentral:rRNA from 1 species